CAGCUUUCACCUUUAUUGGUAUGAGUUGAGGGGAAAAUGUCUUUAUCACUGGUGCCUGAGUCCCAUCAUAGUCAUUAUUCCUCUGGAUUAAGACUUGAUUCUCUCUUAAAAUGGAGGUGCUCUUGGGAGGGAUAACCCGUCACAUUUCUAUUUCUUAGUGUGAAUGAAGUUAUGCAAUCCAGCAGCAAGUGAUGAAUUUUGGUGGUAAUGCCCUGGGCACCCAGAAAAGAAAAUGACAUGCAAACUGGGGUGGGCGGCAACAAUGAGAUUCUGUGACUCUACAGGCUUAUGGAGAGCUCGUCCCACUUUCUAAUCCACCUCCUUUGUUUGGUGUUUUGGAUUUUGGAAUUUGGAAUUUUGGAACCAGAAGAUCUGAUCCAGCUUUGGCUCUGUCACCCGUGUGGCCCUGGGUAAAGCCUCUUGGAAGGGUUGAAGACAAUACCUGUGGUAGCUGCUGAUGAGGUGGUUGUAAAGAGCCAGUGAGAUAAUAUGUGGGAAAGUUCAACCACACAGAUUCUACUCCUAAGGAAUCUGUUACGCCGAGUGCAACUGACUUCACUGUUGGAAGGCUAUGCCUCUUCUCUGUGUGCCAGUCAAUUCAGCAUCAGUGUCCCCUGCAUGAUCUGCCAAGCAGAAUCAGACCGUGACAAAUCUUAACCACUUUAUCGACCUGAGAGAUGAUCCUGGAUGGUAUAUUAAGUGACUAAGGUUUAGAAGUUACCAAACACCCACACUGAGUUUUAAAGACUUCCUUUGAAAGGGAUGGGCUCUACAAUGCACUUUUAAAAACUUCAAAUUCCUAAUUAUGAUCUACAAAGUCCUGAACAGUCUGACAUUUACUCAUCUCUCCAAACUGAUCUCAAUCUGCUCUCCCUCUGGCUCGCUCGUUCUAGCAUCAUUGGCUUUUUUUUCCUCUUCCUGGAGCAUACCAACUGAUCUUCCGGGGGCUUUGAGAAUACCAUUCUCUUUGUCAGGAACAUUCUCUUGGCCACCACAACUGCUUCCUUGCUAAUAUCACCUCCCAGAAAUUCCCCGUGGGCGAUCAGUCCUUCCACCUGAAAGCCUUUUGCUUUGCUUUCCCUUCUUCCGCUGCAUGCUGCUGCCGACCUCUCUCCCUCACACUCGCUCUCACCUGGACACAUCUCAUCUCUCAUCUGCCACAGCCUCCUCAUCUCGAUGCCAAUAACAACUCUGCAGUGGCUUCCAUUUCCUCCCAGACUGUAAGCUGAAUGGGGGCGGAAACCAAGCCUGCUUCUUCAUGAACAUUCCUUCAAUGUCCAGCAAAAAUUAAGUCCUUACUCAACAAAUGGUUAGCAUUCAGUAAGCAAAUGGGGGAAGGAAUUUUUGCUUUUGCUGUUGGCGAUGCUGAUUCAAACUUUGGGACCAGACAAGACAUCUCGUUCUUCCUUUUCUGAAGAGGAGAGCAGCCCUGCGGCAGACAGUGCCCCUACCCUGCCCCAGGCCACUGACGGCCCCGCGAGGGCCCUUCGGAGGGAAGGCUGCGGUGCUGGGCCUUCCCAGGGGUGCGUUUCCUCCAAUGGCCUUCCCAAGUAUUCACAGCCAACUUCCCCAUCAGUCAUGAGUUUUUCCAAGACUCACAGGAACCUGCCCUAAAGAGUUAAGGAAGUUCUCUGCGUGUUUCUAAAUACCACCUCCAAAAUACUUUCAGAGUUCCUGAGUUAAAGAUCCCAGGACUGAAACUUUGGAUGGUGUCAAGUUCCCCGUGGAGACUCGGAGACGCUGCAGGGCUGGGGCUCAGGAUGGCUACCGCCCCACCCUACCCCUACUCAGGAUAGGAAAAGGAGCAGCGA
ensembl:lncRNA